AGCGCCAAAUCAACAACUCCACAUCCUUAUUAUGAGAAUUAAUUCAAGAACACAGCCACAGGCCCACAGCAAUUUAGGACCUUGAGUUUCUAAUACAUAGUGAUGCAAAAUGUUUGCAAAGAACUAAAAGGAAAAGAGAACUAAAAAACAGUGCUAUAAGUACUAUCAUUAUUAAUUCUUUUUCAAGAAUGCAUACUCGCAUUCUAGUUUUCAGAUUUGAGCAGAUACUCUAUUUCAUUCAAGCAACAUCAGCUAUAGCUACCAGCCUACCACUAGUAUAAAAACUGGAACUUAAUGUUUUGAUUUUCCCCUCAGCAUUGGUUUUGAGUUCAGAUAAGCAACAAUCACGUUGGAAAGUGUUUCUUGUACUUGAAUUUAUUUCACUAUAAUAUAUUGAGAGCAGCAAUAGUUCACCAUUUCUGAUAACUUGAAACAGGGUUUUGUGUUGAUGUCACCAAGCUUCUUCACAUUUUGCAAUUACUUUCCAUAAUCAUAUAAAUAGUUUGAUGUUGUAGCUCAAGGUCCUCACUCUGGCACUUGUUAAAUCCUCCUGGUUUUGUAGAUAGUGUAAGCCAACAGCAAUGGAAUUGCAAGGCUAUAGCCCGGAAAAUGGAACAAUGGGUUCAUCUCAUAAGCUUUCAUAAGGGCUCUGCAAUUCAUAAAAUGCUUCCAACAGAUUCCCAAGCAAACCACCAAUAGAACUUUCCGAAUGCACCUACGACCAAAAUAAAAUUUCAGUCUUCUAUCUCCCUGUUUAUCAAGCACUUGAGAUUUCUUAUUCAUCUGACCAGAAUCAUCAUCUUCUUUCUUCCCUGAAAGAGAUAGAAAAUGUUCCUUGAACAUGCCUCUUUCAGCAGCCAAUGCCCCAGCAACAAAAGUAGCAGGCAAAACCACAAAGAUGAGAUGGGGAAGGACAACCACCAUUAUAUCUGGAGAUCCAAUGUACUCCUGAUUUCCGUUGUCAUUGGAUGAUCUUACCACCCAUCCCAUGUAGGUCAUGUACCCCUUAUCCUCACCAUCAGUGAAAACUUGCCCAAUAAACCAGGGAAACAAUAAAAGGUAUAUCAAAUACCCUAAAAUACCAAACCAUGUAAUGGGAAGCCUGCAGAGGUCCUGAAAAACCCAUGCUAUACCAUUGAAGAAACCUUUUUCAACAAUAAAAGACUUGUAAGAGUACUGCUUCUUUGAAAAUAAGAGAAGAAGUCUUGGAAUAAGCAGAAUGGAUAACAUUAAAUAUAUAACAGACCAGAAGAUUGGAUAAUACAACUCAGCCCAUUGACAACCCAUCACAAAGAAUUCCUUCCAUGUCCAUGAGAUCUUAGUAGUUAAACCAUUUACUGAAAAUGGCCUUAGUUCAGACAAAGUUGAUCUUCCCAUUAUGUCAAUUACUUCUAUUUGCAGCCAAAAUCUAUCAGGAGAUGGAUCAUCGAAGGCUUUGUGAUUCCAAGGAGCUGCAUAAAAAUCUCCCCUGGACAUAUCUACCACAACCUUCGUCAUGGGUGUUUCCAAGACAAUAUUCAGAGUUCCAGGUCUUGCAUCAUAGAUCCUGGCAACAACAGACACAAUUGGAGAAACAGAAAACACAAGAGCUCUGAUUGUCUCAUAAGAUGAAGGGACCAUAUGUUGACAUUCAUACUUUUGAUGCCAUGAAGAUGUUGACAUGAAGCGAGAAUCUAGUGGAAAUGUGGGCAAUACAAUAGUUUUUUUGGCUCCUGAUUUGAAAUCAAUGUCCAAAUAUGAAACAUGACCUCUGUCAAUAGCCAUAAUCCGCAUGGCUCUACUUUUCCUCCAGUCACCCAUCUCCCACUCCCAGAACUCCUCAGCUGAUGGAGCUCCAAAUGAACAGUUUUUUGCACUUCCUGAAGGUAUUUGUUGCAUAUUUAACUGAAAAAAUUUCUGCAAGGACAAAAGGUUUUGACUUGACGUUGACUGGUGGUGCCGUUUUAAAUUCUUACCAAACCUAGCAUGAAGAUGCCCACACAAAUAAGCUGAUAUGGAAUGAUUAAGAAAAAUAUCUUUCAGGCUCUUCCCAGAAUGCGAGGAUGCUGAGAAUGAAAGUGGAAAAUGUCCAAAGGAUAUUUUAGUUACAGGUUUAUUUGUUUGAGAAUCCCAUUGUGAUAGCUGAGAAUCUAAUUGAGUUAAUAGUUGGUCAGUGGGAUGCCCAAAAAGAUUAGUUGGGCCCCGCAAACCAACAGACAUUGCAGUGUCCAACCCAAUAAAGAGAUGUUUGCGCUCGCCAGUCUCAAGGGUAACACUGUUGACAUUUCCCCUUCUUGCUAACUGCCCAUUAAUGCUGUAUUUCGAAAAGAAAUCAAAUGAACCACCAACAACGGGUACUCCAAAAAUAUCAUGAUUUCCUCUGAGAUCAUAGAAGAUGUUCUUAUCAAGUCCACUUCUUUUCACAACAUCUUCAAUUAUAUUUUGGUAUUCUAGCCACUCAUCUUCGUUUUGUUUCAUUACUAACAAGUCCUUGCUUUUCCCAUCUGGAAAAGAGAAGAAUAAUGUAUUUUGAGGAGAUCCGUCCGGACAUCACUAGGAUUGGUAAAGGCAGUUUAAAAGUGAGAACAUAUAUUUGGCAUACUUCCAAAUAAACAAAUAUAAAAUUAAUCAAAAGGGGGAAAAUCAGAUUCUUCUCUUAAUGGUAUCUUGCAGUAUAAUGGCAGCCCAUUAAAGAUGAAAGACUAAUUCUCCAUAUGUGACAAGGAGAUCAAGGAUGAGAUCUUGCAUUAUUAAAACCAUGAAUAACAGUAAUAAGAUAUCAUCAAUCUGGGAAACAUAAUUCAAAGAAAGGAAGCAUGGAGUCCAUUCGAAUGAAUAGAAAAGAAAUAAAGAAACUGAAUUUUUAAGAACCACUUCCAGCUAAGAAAACUUAAAUGUGUAAGGAAAGGAACUGCUGCAUGCAGUUAGUUUCUCUUUGGCACAUCGAACUCGCGUACAAAGAAACAGACUUACCCUUUGUUUGAAUCCUUAACUUGGCAAGGGAAAUGAAGGGAAAUUAAAGAGAGGAAAUGAAGAGAAAAGAAAAGAAAGUAAAUUUAAUUUACUCUACGUUGUUUGGAUAGGUUAUUAGAAUAGAGGAUAAACAUAAUUUCUCCUGUAGGAGAAAUAACUAUUAUACCCUCAUUUUCUUUCU
rnacentral:misc_RNA from 1 species